rnacentral:rRNA from 1 species
AUACAUGCAAGUCGAGCGAACAGAUAAGGAGCUUGCUCCUUUGACGUUAGCGGCGGACGGGUGAGUAACACGUGGAUAACCUACCUAUAAGACUGGGAUAACUUCGGGAAACCGGAGCUAAUACCGGAUAACAUAUUGAACCGCAUGGUUCAAUAGUGAAAGGCGGCUUUGCUGUCACUUAUAGAUGGAUCCGCGCCGUAUUAGCUAGUUGGUAAGGUAACGGCUUACCAAGGCAACGAUACGUAGCCGACCUGAGAGGGUGAUCGGCCACACUGGAACUGAGACACGGUCCAGACUCCUACGGGAGGCAGCAGUAGGGAAUCUUCCGCAAUGGGCGAAAGCCUGACGGAGCAACGCCGCGUGAGUGAUGAAGGUCUUCGGAUCGUAAAACUCUGUUAUCAGGGAAGAACAAAUGUGUAAGUAACUGUGCACAUCUUGACGGUACCUGAUCAGAA